UACGUAGGUGGCAAGCGAUACUCGGAAUCACUAGGCGUAAAGCGCAGGUAGGCGGUUUGGUAAGUCUUUUGUGAAAGCUCCCGGCUCAACUGGGAGAGGUCAAGGGAAACUACCGGACUAGAGUGUGGUAGGGGAUACUGGAAUUCUCGGUGUAGCGGUGAAAUGCGUAGAUAUCGAGAGGAACACCUGCGGCGAAGGCGGGUUGCUGGGCCGACACUGACGCUGAUGCGGCGAAAGCCAGGGGAGCGAACGGG
rnacentral:rRNA from 1 species